AACCCCUUAAGUUUAAUUAGAUCCCAUCGGACAUUUUGAUUAGCGAGAAAGGACAAUGCCUCAAGCAAUAAUCACAAUAUAGGACGUCUUUAAGGAACAAAGGAUGUUCUAACCAUGAGCCCAGGAUGUGGUUUGUGCAUUGUCAGGCAGUUUGUUCUCUCCAUCAAUUUGCUGACACUCACUCCCCAUCCAUGUCUAUUCAUCUAAAAAUCCUGAUGUCCCCUGGCUGUUGGCCUCCAGGCUGCUGGAUUUGGUCCCUUCUAUGACAACUUUACUGACAGACACACCAG